rnacentral:rRNA from 1 species
AACGCUAGCUACAGGCUUAACACAUGCAAGUCGAGGGGUUUCGAGGGAGCUUGCUCCCAAGAGACGACCGGCGCACGGGUGAGUAACGCGUAUCCAACCUGCCCUUCAUAUUGGGAUAGCCUCUCGAAAGGGAGAUUAAUACCGAAUAACAUAGUUUAGUUGCCUGACCAGACUAUGAAAGCUCCGGCGAUGAAGGAUGGGGAUGCGUUCCAUUAGGUAGUAGGCGGGGUAACGGCCCACCUAGCCUACGAUGGAUAGGGGUUCUGAGAGGAAGGUCCCCCACACUGGAACUGAGACACGGUCCAGACUCCUACGGGAGGCAGCAGUGAGGAAUAUUGGUCAAUGGGCGCAAGCCUGAACCAGCCAAGUAGCGUGAAGGAUGACUGCCCUAUGGGUUGUAAACUUCUUUUAUACGCGAACAACCGCAGGUACGUGUACCUGUCUGCGUGUAGCGUAUGAAUAAGCAUCGGCUAACUCCGUGCCAGCAGCCGCGGUAAUACGGAGGAUGCGAGCGUUAUCCGGAUUUAUUGGGUUUAAAGGGAGCGUAGGUGGUCUGUUAAGCCAGCUGUGAAAUACUGUAGCUCAACUACAGCCGUGCAGUUGGAACUGGCGGACUUGAGUGCACAAGAGGAAGGUGGAAUUCAUGGUGUAGCGGUGAAAUGUUUAGAUAUCAUGAAGAACUCCGAUUGCGAAGGCAGCCUUCUGGGGUGCAACUGACACUGAUGCUCGAAAGUGUGGGUAUCGAACAGGAUUAGAUACCCUGGUAGUCCGCACCGUAAACGAUGGAUACUCGCUGCCGGCGAUACACGGUCGGUGGCCACGCGAAAGCAUUAAGUAUCCCACCUGGGGAGUACGCCGGCAACGGUGAAACUCAAAGGAAUUGACGGGGGCCCGCACAAGCGGAGGAACAUGUGGUUUAAUUCGAUGAUACGCGAGGAACCUUACCCGGGCUUGAACUAUGGUGGACCGUUCCAGAGAUGGAUCUUCCCUUCGGGGCCGCCAUGGAGGUGCUGCAUGGUUGUCGUCAGCUCGUGCCGUGAGGUGUCGGCUUAAGUGC